rnacentral:rRNA from 1 species
UGAGGAAUAUUGGUCAAUGGCCGGGAGGCUGAACCAGCCAAGUCGCGUGAGGGAAGACGGCCCUACGGGUUGUAAACCUCUUUUGUCAGGGAGCAAGGGGCAGGUCGUGACCUGUUGUGAGAGUACCUGAAGAAAAAGCAUCGGCUAACUCCGUGCCAGCAGCCGCGGUAAUACGGAGGAUGCGAGCGUUAUCCGGAUUUAUUGGGUUUAAAGGGUGCGCAGGCGGAGGCACAAGUCAGCGGUAAAAUCGCGGGGCUCAACCCCGCUCCGCCGUUGAAACUGUGUCCCUUGAGUGCGCGAAGG